GGGGACGUAAAGGUUUCGACGGGGGUAUUGCAGUACGAACAGCGAGUCGAGGUGCACACAUCGUUAAAGUGGCAGUUUAAUAUAAACGCAGAAGAUAACUUCGAAAUGGCUCUUGCUGCUUAAUUGCAGUAAGACCACAAAACUUCAGCUUAUAUAGCUGAGCGUCGCUUCCUUUUACCUGUGAUUGGAAGAUCGACGUCAAAUUUAACAGGUAACACUGUUAUGGGGGCUUCGACAUAAUAGUGACUCAGAAGCUGGCCGAUUCAAAGGGUGUCAUUGCUCGUUGAAUUUGGUAAGAAUAAAUCAGUGACUGUGCUCGGAGAAAUUCGUAUGAAUGUACUUUCGGACAGGGGUUCGAUUCCCCUCGUCUCCACCA
rnacentral:tmRNA from 1 species